CGAGCACUUGCCAUGACUUUAUUUUUGAAUAUUUCUGUGUUCAUGUGGUAGGGAAAACAUUGUUGUAUACUACAAAUUCCCUGUUUUGCUUUUAGGUUGGAGACUACAUAAGACUUUGACAGUUGGCGGGAAACCAUCAUCAACUGGAGAGAUGCCGGUAGAGGAAUGUCUUCGACUAAGUCAAGGGCCACUGGAUAAGGGUUGUUGAUGGCAAAACAGGUUGGAGACUACAUAAGACUUUGACAGUUGGCGGGAAACCAUCAUCAACUGGAGAGAUGCCGGUAAAAAGAUGGCCAUAAAACAGUGACCGCUGAUUCGCAUUGAGUUCUUUCUUACAUAUUGGAUGACCUAUGUUUUUUAUUGUUUAAAUCAUUGCGGCUUGGAAUGCUCUUUAAGAAAAGGUAGAGGAAUGUCUUCGACUAAGUCAAGGGCCA